rnacentral:SRP_RNA from 1 species
GCCAGGCAUGGUGGUGCGUGCCUGUAAUCCCAGCUACUCGGGAGGCUGAGGUAGGAGAAUCGCUUGAACCGGGGAAGCUGAGGUUGCAGUGAGCCGAGAUCUGCCAACGCACUCCAGCCUUGCCUGGGCAACAGAGUGAGACUCUGUCUCAA